rnacentral:tRNA from 1 species
CAGUAAGUAGUUUAAUCAAAAAUUUUAAUUUUGGGGAUUAAGGAUGAGUGUAUUACUUUUUACUGA